GGGAGACUGAGGAUGUGUUGCCUGCUGCAUGACCUGCAAGUGAAGCUGUGGGCUUACAAGGCCUCAGUGACACCCACCAAGGGACUUGCCAUGAUGAGACUCGAUCCUGGGCAGACUGAGCAGAUGCUGGGUCCUGUGGAUGUGACAUGGAACGGAUGUCACCUUCAGUCUUCUGCAGCAUCCAAAGUCCUGCAAUAUUCCUGGAGCCAGUGACAUCCUGUGAAAACUCAUGGAAGUCUCUGGAAAGAAGAAGCUCAGAAUUUACCGAGUUUGUCAGUGACCACAUGAUCAAUUCCACCCCACAGAAUCUAAAGAAUAAGACCCUUGGCUUCAGCAAGGGACACGGGUAAAUCCCACACUGGUGUCCUGGGACAGUGAAGGCCAAGUGUUGUGGUACCGCAGCUGGGACUGGGCUUUCGAUCUAUCCCGGACUUAUUUAGCUUUAUAUAAGCCUUACCCUCUUUAUAUAAUCCUUGGACACCCAUGGAGGCAGCUUUGCCUUUGAGGGGUCAUAUGACAAUAUCUGGGAAUAUUUUUCUUACCUUUGGGUGUGUGACUACUGACAUCUCAACGUUAGGGCCCGGGGAUAUGAUGAACACCCUGCGACACACAGGACAAGCUCCAUCGUGCAAUGUGCUCUGACUCAAUGGCCAGUACUAAGAGACAGUUGGCUGUAAGCCCCAAAGAUUCAGCUUCUAGAUUUCCGAAAUAUUGUCAUAUUCCAAAUUCGUUCAUACAAGCUAAUCAUGCUAGCUCCCAUAUUUCAAUAAUUAUAUCUUAGAGACCAAAGUAGGACAUUUGAGAUAAUGCAUACAGAGAGGGUUGGGGGGAGGCAAUACAGAAUCAUUCACUUUCUGGGCGGCUUUCAUUAAAUUUGGAUGAAUUUAUCACA